GAUGAACGCUGGCGGCGUGCUUAACACAUGCAAGUCGAACGGUGAAGGCGGAGCUUGCUCUGCUGGAUCAGUGGCGAACGGGUGAGUAACACGUGAGCAAUCUGCCCCUGACUCUGGGAUAAGCGCUGGAAACGGCGUCUAAUACUGGAUACGAGCUGCGAAGGCAUCUUCAGCAGCUGGAAAGAAUUUCGGUCAGGGAUGAGCUCGCGGCCUAUCAGCUUGUUGGUGAGGUAAUGGCUCACCAAGGCGUCGACGGGUAGCCGGCCUGAGAGGGUGACCGGCCACACUGGGACUGAGACACGGCCCAGACUCCUACGGGAGGCAGCAGUGGGGAAUAGUGCACAAUGGGCGAAAGCCUGAUGCAGCAACGCCGCGUGAGGGACGACGGCCCUCGGGUUGUAAACCUCUUUUAGCAGGGAAGAAGCGAAAGUGACGGUACCUGCAGAAAAAGCGCCGGCUAACUACGUG
rnacentral:rRNA from 1 species